AGUUUAGCUCCAGCUUGCCCCAAUACACCUGCUUGGAGGUUUCUAGCAUGCCUAGUAAGACCUUGAUUCGCUGGUCCAGGUGUGUUUAAUUUGGGUUGAUGCUAAACUCUACAGGAGAGUGGCCCUCCAGGACAGAGUUUGGACACCCCUGGUGAGCUAACUACACCCCAAAGGCUAUUUUAGGAGCCACAGCACUGAGCAUCUUUGGCUUUG